UGUAUCUGAAGCCUGACGAGGAUGAGAACCUCCGGGGGCAAGAGGUUCGACCCGAGCGAAGCGAGAGAACGUUGCGUCAGCAACGGCCCGCAGGGCGAGCCA
rnacentral:sRNA from 2 species